rfam:Hordeum vulgare subsp. vulgare, WGS project CAJW01000000 data, contig: morex_contig_1617932
GUUAUACUUCCUCCGUUUCAAAAUUCUUGUCUUAAAUUUGUUUAGAUAUAAAUGUAUCUAGUUAAGUUUUAGUAUUUAGAUACAUCUAUUUCCAGACAAAGUUAAGACAAGAAUUUUAGGACGAAGGGAGUAGUUA